rnacentral:tRNA from 2 species
GACGAGGUGGCCGAGUGGGUAAGGCGAUGGACUGCUAAUCCAUUGUGCUCUGCACGCGUGGGUUCGAAUCCUGUCCUCGUCG